rnacentral:lncRNA from 1 species
AGCAAAACAGUUUCCAGUAAAGGCUUCUUCUCCUCUUCCUCCUCCUCCUCCUCCUCCACGUCAUCUCCUAUAUCUUCCCAUCGCCAUUUCAACAGAGGAAGAAGAGAAGCAACCAGAGAACAAGACAGACACGAUGGCUGGAGCUCCAUAUUUUACGAUGAAGGCAGCAAAAAAGUUUCCAGUAAAGGCUUCUUCUCCUCUUCCUCCUCCUCCUCCUCCUCCACGUCAUCUCCUAUAUCUUCCCAUCGCCAUUUCAACAGAGGAAGAAGAGAAGCAACCAGAGAACAAGACAGACACGAUGGCUGGAGCUCCGACAGGUAACACCUACUAUAUUAUUUGUGACAUCCUGCGGGACAUGAGUGACGAUUACUUCAAGGCUUUUAAGUGGAACCUGAUAAACAUGACAGACAUCCCACAGUGCGAGCUGGAGCCAGCAGACAGGCUUAAGACCGUGGACCUGAUGAUGCCAUAUCACGGUCAGGAUGCCAUGAACAUGACCAUGGAUUCAUUGAGACAGAUCCAGGGGAACGACCUGGUGGAGUGUUUGACUGCUACCUGAGAGGG